rnacentral:lncRNA from 1 species
UAACAAAUCCUAAUUCUAAUAGAAUACUAACAAUGCUCUAAUUAGAUUAUAAUAAUGAUAAACAAAUGUAAUCAAAUUCAAAACAACUCAAAGAAAUUUCAAAAAAACAAUAAAAUUCUUAAAGAAAUAUUAGAAUGAUGACAAAUGUUACUCAAAUAUAUGUCAAUUCAACCUUAAUUUAAUUCUAGUUAAAACCCUAUUGAAUUUCACUCAAACUUUAGACCAAACCUAAUUAAAUCUUAAACUCUAAUAAAUCCUAAAUCCUAAGUUAAAUCCUAAAUAAACCUUAAAUUAAACCGUAAAUCAAACUCUAUUUAAAAUCCUAAACCCUAAACCAAACCUUAAAUCAAAUCCUAAUCCAAAUCCUAAAUCAAAUCCUAACCAAACCCUAAACCCUAAUCCAAAUUCUAAUCCAAACCCUAAAUCAAAUCCUAAUCAAAUCCUAAAUCCUAACUCAAACCCUAAUCCAAUCCUAAACCCUAACCAAACCCUAAAUCCUAAUCCAAUCCUAAACUCUAAAUCAAACCCUAAAUCGAACCCUAGCCAAACCUUAAUCCAAAUCCUAGUAAUUCCUAUGACAGAUUUAAAUCUCAAUAUCUAAUGAAUAAAUCGUUGAUCUCAAUUCAAAAUUUACAUACUUCUUAAAAAUCAAGUUUAAAAUAAGCACAAAAAAAUUUGAAAAGGAUCGGAGUUACCAAAUUGACGAAAACCUCAAAAAUAUAUUCGGGUGUUAGCCGGCCUCCUUCUCCAAUCUUGAUGCCAACCUUUCAAAGCCAAUUUCUCUUCUUUGCACCGUUCGAUUGGUUUCAAAUUUCUCAUGGACAUAGAAAAACAAGUCUAAUACCCUCUCACACAAGUUUUACUCCAAUCCAACUAGUAGAUUGCAUGAAAUCUUAAAAAUCCUCACUGGACCUAAAAUUCUACUUUUUGAGACCUUGACUCACUUAAACCUCAAUAUCUCUCACUUCAACCAUUAGAUCGAGCUCAAAUUCACAACAUAUAUUUAAUAAAACUAUAAUCAUGAACCCAAAAAUUUCACCCAUAGAUCUGCAACAAAACUCUCAAAAUCACUCAAAACAUAAACCCUAUUUUAUUUCAUAAAACCCAAGUCAUCCGAAACAAACCUCCCCUUUGCAAAGCUCUUACAAAGUCAUAUCAACUUCAAAUCACCCAAAAUC